rnacentral:rRNA from 1 species
UACGUAGGGGGCAAGCGUUGUCCGGAAUCAUUGGGCGUAAAGAGCGUGUAGGUGGCUCGGUAAGUCCGCUGUAAAAGUCCAGGGCUCAACCCUGGAAAGCCGGUGGAAACUGUCGAGCUAGAGUCCGGAAGAGGCGAGUGGAAUUCCUGGUGUAGCGGUGAAAUGCGCAGAUAUCAGGAAGAACACCCGUGGCUAAGGCGGCUCUCUAGUACGGUACUGACGCUGAGACGCGAAAGCAUGGGGAGCGAACAGG